AUAUCAGUCAUGCAUAGCAUAUCAAUAAGCGGAGGAAAAGAAACUAACAAGGAUUCCCUUAGUAACGGCGAGUGAAGCGGGAAGAGCUCAAAUUUGAAAUCUUCAAGGCUUUACCUUGACGAAUUGUAGUUUAAAGAAGUGUUUUCUGUUGAAGUUUUGGUAAAAGUUCUUUGGAAUAGGACAUCAUAGAGGGUGAGAAUCCCGUAUUUGACCAUUACUUUCAGCUUUGUGAUACACUUUCAAAGAGUCGGAUUGUUUGGGAAUGCAGUCCAAAAUGGGUGGUAAAUUUCAUCUAAAGCUAAAUAUUGGCGAGAGACCGAUAGCGAACAAGUACCGUGAGGGAAAGAUGAAAAGAACUUUGAAAAGAGAGUUAAACAGUACGUGAAAUUGUCAAAAGGGAAGCGUUUGACACCAGUGUUGUUUUACUCGAAAAUCAAUUAAAAAGAGUUGGAUUUUGUGUUGUAUUGACUUUAUCGGCUUUCUUCACUCUUUUCCUAGCUUUUUUUAAUGCACUUUUCGUUUAACAAGUCAACAUCAGUUUCUUUUGUUGUAAAAAGGUCAUUGGAGGGUGGCUUUCUCUUCGGAGAAAGUGUUUAUAGCCUUUGACUCAUGCAAUCGGAGAGACUGAGGUCUGCAGCGUAGAUCCUUCGGGGUUAGAUACAUUUGUGCUAAGUUAUAGCUUUUCAUAGACAACUUGUUGACUAUGUUUAGUCUUGUAGCUUACUCGCUUAUGCUAUUUUACCUACGCUUAGGAUGUUGAACUCUAUCACACACAG
rnacentral:rRNA from 1 species